ensembl:lncRNA
GUUCCACACAGCCAGUAAAAUGGACAGGAAGGUCUUUAGAGGCUGUUUUUGUGCCGCUGGGGGCCAGAAUGAGCUGACAAAUGUUUGAGAGCAAUGCAGAGCUGCGCUCUUGAAAUCUUCAUCACCUGCGAAGUUGCCUGAGCAGCGCUCACAAAUCCAUGUUGUUGUGUCGCCCCCUACAGGACAGACGCAACCUGCACUACCUGGAGCACAGGAACACGUUGCAAAAAUCACAAUCGGAGGCCUUGUAUUUGUUUGGGGUCAGCAGCACUUCCUGAUGAGGCUCCCGCUGGAGUCAGACGGCAUUCUGGGAUACGCAGAGCCUGCAGUGGCGGCUGAACUGAUGAAGGCACAUCUCCUCCAGACACUCGAGGACUUUACUUCUGUCCCAGCAGUCACACACCGUGUCCUUAAUGUCUCAUUCAGCCGCUUUCACAGCACCGCUGGGACCCGCAGAGCUGUCUGUGCUGACAAAUACAGGAGGGACAAACACCAAAAUAAACAUCACAAAAUCUGUACAGACUAGAAACGACCUGGAAACAAGUUCUUUAUUGAGUAGAAAUGUAAAUGAUUCUGCUUAGUUCAUCUUCAGUCAUGGUUUCAGGGUUUAAGGUCUCAUUUUAUGGGUAUUUUUGGUACAUGAUCACAGUAUGUUUUAAUUCUAAUGUAUUUCUAAUGUAAAACACAAGAGAUGAUCAUUUAUAAAAUAAAUGUGGCAACGAAAUCAAAUGAAAACUUUUAGGAAAAUCUGUGUACGACUGCAGAUGCAUUGGCAUUUUUUGAGGGUGUUGCAUAAGUUUUAAUAUUUUCAUUGUAGUUAAAAUUUCAGUAAGAUUUUUUUUUUUUUUUUUUACGCUUACCUCCGAAGUCCCGAUCUGAAUCAAAUGAUUCGCGAUCGGAUUGGAGCGCUUUGAAACAGUGAAUCAUUUUGUGACGCAAUGGUUUAACUGAUUCGGAGUUUUCAAAAGCUCGUUCAUUAUACGUGCUUUUUAAAAUAAUUACAACAAGCCAUGUAGAAAGUCGAAAAUGAAUGGCUCUUUUGAUCUGUUUCUGCUAAUGAAUCGAUUGAAC